UUUUUUUUUUUACCCGGGGUGAGCGAGUUGGCCGAGAAGCGCGAAAGUUGACGUGUCGGCGCAGGCGACCCGAUAUUCAUCUGUGCUUUCUCCCGUUUCUCCCAGACGGCUGAGCCGGCCCCAGGCGGAGACGUGAUCUCAAGGACUUCCCAGGAUCAAGAGUAAAUCCCACUUUGGACGCUGCCAGGCACUCGCGCGGCCAUCAGGCAGAUGUUUUCUCCUGGCGAGGGGUCCGACGGCGCGCGCUCCUCCAUCGCUGACGGCGUCGCCCUCAAGAUUCAGCUUCAGCUUCUCGGACCGGGAGAAACAGCAGGACGGGCGGGAGGAUUCCGUUUCUCAGACAUGCUGAAACCGAUCCGUCAAGCGCAAAAAAAGAGAAGCCAGGACGGCGAACGCGCCACAAGUUUGCCGCCGCCGCCGGCCGCGACGGACGGCCUGAUUGUUUGAUUCAUUCUACGCUGAGCCCGGAUUAAUGUUUUCCCGUCCGGCCAUCUGCUUUUCAUACUCCCCCUCCCGCCCAAACGCCAUCGAUGUCGCAUCCGCCGCCUUCCCGGGCGUACGUCAACAAGCGCUGGAACCGCCAAAGGAAAAUAAUCAGCCGUUAUUUUCCUUCUCGUACGGAGACCCGGGCCAGUAUUUAGACCUCGGCGACUGGUCAAGGCCGAGUGAUGGAGAGCUCUGCAAACAAAAAAAAAAAAAGACCCCAUGCUUUGAUUCGCUUCUCUUCUUCAUUGCCAAUCCGUUUGAGUAAGUGAAACUACAACGAAAUGGAUGUGUCAUCUGACAACGAAUUCACAUGCUGCUAAGACAACGUUCCAUAACCACCUCAUCCCGGGAGAAUAUUGACAGGAAAAAAAGGACACGAGCUGAUUUGAAUUUGUUAUUUGAACGUGAACAGUUGAAUCAUUUGGUGGCGACUUACAACGCGAAACGUCAAAGAUGAAAACAGAAUUGUGGGAGCAUCAAGUCUUCUUUUUUUUCUUGCAUGAAAUUCGGUGACCGAUCUCAAAUUCUAAUCCGGUGGUGCACACGACUGCCCCCAAAAUCUUCUCGCUGAUGUUAUUUCUUGCCCAAGCGCUUUUUUUCCCAAAAUACCAGCCGGGUGAAAUCGAGGCAUAUCGACGGCAUUCGUUUCUCUUGCCGUCGGACUCGAUGGCGAUACCGUUGGGGGCGCGUCCCGUCCUAAUCGGGUGUCCGGUCGCGAUUGCAAAUCAGCGCUUGAUCAUCAUUCGGACCGAAUCUUCUUGGAUUGUCACGGGAAGGAACGGGCUCAAAAGGAGUGACGUGUGUACCGCACUCGGAGUGAAUCGGAACAGAAGCGGAGCGGGAGAUUUGAAAACACGCUAUUUGUUCCCGACAUAUUGUUUGCUUUUGCUGGUCUUGUGACAAGUCAUCCGAAAUGUCACGCAGCCGACAUUUGCCGGGGACAAGAUCGGCGGCACGUGGGGAAAAGGAGGAAAAAAAAAAGAGGUGGGGGUCGCUUGAAGGCUGCAUGUUUUGAAAGUCGAGCCUCAUGACAUCUUUAUGCCCCCCCCCACGACAAUGCGCUUCCACCCACUAGCCCCGCCACGCACGCCCAAACACGCACGCGCGCGCUACGGGGAAAAGAUGACCUCUCGGUUCACUGCACUUGUAUAGUCGUGAAUGGAAGGGCUCAACAAAAGGUGACAUCAUUUUCUCAGCCUUUGAUUGGCCCCCUCCGUGCCAGGGGAUGACAUCAUGCCACCCGCCCUCCCCAAACUCCUCCAAAGACACCCGACCGGUCAGAGCGCCCCUGUUGGAUGCUGCGUUGCCGAGGCAACGGUCCCAGGAAACGGGGCAGCGCUUGGCAGUAGAUUGGAGCCGCCUAUCCCAUAAUGAGCUCGGCCGGCCUCGCCUUUUGUUCGCCGAGUAAACAAUCGGGGGACAUGAUAGAGUGAGAGCAAAUGAAGGGGUGGGCACCCUUGUUGCCGCAACUUGCCACUCAACAAAAACAACAGAAAAAAAAACGACUCUCAACUCCCCGUUUGCAAGUCACAGCAAGGGAGUCUCUCUCGCCUUCGCCUCGGUGGCACGGCGGCAAAAGCGCGAACGACGCAAAUGUACACAAAGCGAGCUGGGCUCGGAGAAUGUGAACAUGUACUGCCGUUCGUGCGUGGAAAUAAAAGCUUUUGACGCCCUUUCAGCUUGAUGUCAAGAUUGUGUUUUGGAAUGAAUUUGUCAGAUGGGGCUCGGAUAACGGAAUGGAAGAGGAGCUUUUCCUCCGAUCGCAAUAAGGGCUGUCGCGAAAGGCACGAUCUUGCCACGAAACGUCAACGUGGCCGGAUGAGCGCAUUACGCGCUCAUCAUUUUCCGCGGCGACGGCGUUCGAGUGAGCGAGCGUU